rnacentral:rRNA from 1 species
GACGAACGCUGGCGGCGUGCUUAACACAUGCAAGUCGAACGGAAAGGCCCUGCUUUUGUGGGGUGCUCGAGUGGCGAACGGGUGAGUAACACGUGAGUAACCUGCCCUUGACUUUGGGAUAACUUCAGGAAACUGGGGCUAAUACCGGAUAGGAGCUCCUGCUGCAUGGUGGGGGUUGGAAAGUUUCGGCGGUUGGGGAUGGACUCGCGGCUUAUCAGCUUGUUGGUGGGGUAGUGGCUUACCAAGGCUUUGGCGGGUAGCCGGCCUGAGAGGGUGACCGGCCACAUUGGGACUGAGAUACGACCCAGACUCCUACGGGAGGCAGCAGUGGGGAAUAUUGCACAAUGGGCGGAAGCCUGAUGCAGCAACGCCGCGUGCGGGAUGACGGCCUUCGGGUUGUAAACCGCUUUCGCCUGUGACGAAGCGUGAGUGACGGUAAUGGGUAAAGAAGCACCGGCUAACUACGUG